CCCAGACUCCUACGGGAGGCAGCAGUGGGGGAUAUUGCACAAUGGGGGAAACCCUGAUGCAGCGACGCCGCGUGGGUGAAGAAGCGCCUCGGCGCGUAAAGCCCUGUCAGCAGGGAAGAAAAUGACGGUACCUGAAGAAGAAGCCCCGGCUAACUACGUGCCAGCAGCCGCGGUAAUACGUAGGGGGCAAGCGUUAUCCGGAUUUACUGGGUGUAAAGGGGGCGCAGACGGCGAUGCAAGCCAGGAGUGAAAGCCCGGGGCCCAACCGCGGGACUGCAUUGGGAACUACCGGGCUGGAGUGCCGGAGAGGUAGGCGGAAUUCCUAGUGUAGCGGUGAAAUGCGUAGAUAUUAGGAGGAACACCAGUGGCGAAGGCGGCCUACUGGACGGUGACUGACGCUGAGGCUCGAAAGCGUGGGGAGCAAACAGGAUUAGAUACCCCAGUA
rnacentral:rRNA from 1 species